GGCUCUGGCCGAGCACUGCCUGCCUGUGGGUCUUCGAGCAAAAGAAAUGCUAUCGUUGGAUAAGACACUCAGCUUCGGGUGGUUUGUUAGGCAGCACCUGAUAAAAGGCACAGUUAGGCUGUGGAGUAGGAUGUUUGCAGCAGGCGCCCCUCUUCUUUUGGCUUUCACCACUGCUCAGCAGGUGCCCAGGAUUGCCCACCCGACGGCCUUCUCUGGCUGUGGGAGCCUGCAUGGCUGACACUGGAGCACGUGUGACGCGUGCAGUCAGUGCUAACCCUGGUGCAGUCACAGUGCCCAGCCCUCUUGUCUUCAGAGGGCCAACCCUGAGGAGAAACCCUAUGUGGUUUCCAAAGACUCCCUCAUGGAGCUGGGCCUCAAUUUCCCACUCCAGUGCCCUGUGCUCCCACUUCUGUGCUCCCGAAAUCUGGAGCUUCCCAGACCACACCCCAGACACCCGCUCAACCCAGAGCAGGGCUCAAGGAGCUUCACCUAGUGACCUCAGAACCCCAGGCCUCUCUGGAGUGGAUGUAGCUUCCUUGGGUGUCCUCUAUGGUCUCCAGGCUGGCAUCCAGAAAUUGACUCAGUUUCCCACAGCCACUGGGGCACACCCAAAUGACGCACCUAGUAUAAAGGGCAAUGGGGACAAAAUGCACCAAGGACUUGGCUGGCCUGGGGACCGGACGUGUGGGUAGAACGGCACCUGAGGUACUAGAAGGGUUCUUGGAGGAGGAAAAAGAAGAAAAUAGGGGAAGCAUAGCUCUUUAUUAAGCUUUAUAUGCAGAGCACUGUUGUAUUUGCUCGUCCUCUGGGCUGGUGUCUUAUCAGACAUGCUGCACAUCUGUGAGGUCAAGGAGAAAGUCAUUUUUAUCUGAAGUAGAGAAAAAGUCUUGCUGGUUACAGGGUGAUGCAAGUCCUCGAGCAUCUAUCUCCUGCUCCUUGGAGCUCCGUAGACAUCUCCCUUCUCCUGUACAUGUUCCCUGGCCAUUGACGCCCACAGACAGGCAGAGGGUGAGCCACAAAGGCAGCGGUGGGAAGCUGAAGAAAAACCUGGCAGGAAACAAGAACCUUACCAGAUUAGCAAGUGACCAGAACCAAGACAUCAAAGGACCUGGAUAAAAGGGAGGAGAUCACUCGGGGGGGAGUUUAAAUACAGGCAGCUUAAGUGGCCACAGAGAGCUAGAUUGAGCGAUGAAAGAUGACCUCAGAGUCACAGCUCAGAGGCCCAGGGAGCAGCUGGCACGGGGAACCGGAGCUGUGGGAAGGGACAAGGGCUUUGCCUUCAGAGGAGGCGAGUCCUCAGGAGCAGGAGGGACCCCAGCUCACACCCCCUGCUUUUGUUUUUCGUCUUCAUUUUGAAAUAAUUACAGGUCCACAGGAUGUGGCCACAAAUAGCCCAUGAAGUCCUGCAGAGUCCUCACCUGUCUUUCUCCAGUGGUGACAUCCUGUACAAGGCAGUCUUUCAUUAAAGCAAAGAACUGGGCUCCACAACACUGUUAGGUCUCGUCCAAUUGUGUGUGUGUGUGUGUGUGUGUGUGAGUGUGUGUGUUGUGUAGUCCUGCCAUGUGUACGGUUAUGAUGUAAGCACCACAAUCAAGCUACAGAACCUUUUUUCCUCCUCCAAGGAGUGGUUUACAGUCUUACUUGACACUGGAGCUGCCUG
ensembl:lncRNA